CCAAUUUGAGGAUUACCAAAGGUUAAUUUUACGGCUUAGAAAUAAACAUAAUUGACAAGUUUCCUUCCCCUGCACUCUCGAUCCCACGUGUAAAUAGCACGUACGGAAUUUCAAAUAAGACAUUGAUACAUUACAACACUUGCCGUCAGUAUUUGAAUAUAUUGAUUAAGAAGGUUGGCAGCAAGAUGAAAAGGACAAGUAUGCAGUUCAAAAUUCAAAAUGUGGAUGAGCUGAGGUUCAAGGUCUUAACUUUGCAGAUUUUCAUAUUUUGCAUGAAUGAAUUCAAAUGUUAUAUGAUGGACGGCAGAGAAAGAAAAAAACAACUUUUCAAUUAUCCUGCUCCUGGAUAAAUGUAAAACAUCUUGUUUUUAGAAGGAUUGAAAUUCACCACCUAGAAUAAAUGGAGAAAACAUAGAAACAAGACAAGAAUAAAUUCAAAGACA